GACGAACGCUGGCGGCGUGCUUAAUACAUGCAAGUGGAGCGACGAACCAGGCUUCGGCCUGGGGCAGAGCCGCGAACGGGUGAGUAACACGUGGGUAACCUGCCUCGAUGACCGGGACAACCCGGGGAACCCGGGCUAAUACCGGAUGUGCUGUCCCCACAUCAGUGGAGACAGGAAAGGAAGCUUCGGCCUCCGCAUCGAGAUGGGCCCGCGGCCCAUUAGCUUGUUGGUGUGGUAACGGCNCACCAAGGCUGCGAUGGGUAGCUGGUCUGAGAGGACGAUCAGCCACACUGGGACUGAGACACGGCCCAGACUCCUACGGGAGGCAGCAGUAGGGAAUCUUGCGCAAUGCGCGAAAGCGUGACGCAGCAACGCCGCGUGGGGGAAGAAGGCC
rnacentral:rRNA from 1 species